rnacentral:rRNA from 1 species
UACGUAGGUGACAAGCGUUGUCCGGAUUUACUGGGCGUAAAGAGCGCGCAGGCGGUCGUUCAAGUCGAGUGUGAAAGCCCCCGGCUCAACUGGGGAGGGUCAUUCGAUACUGAUCGACUCGAAGGCAGGAGAGGGAAGUGGAAUUCCCGGUGUAGUGGUGAAAUGCGCAGAUAUCGGGAGGAACACCUAUGGCGAAGGCAGCUCGCUGGGACGUUACUGACGCUGAGACGCGAAAGCGUGGGGAGCAAACAGG